rnacentral:rRNA from 1 species
GACGAACGCUGGCGGCGUGCUUAACACAUGCAAGUCGAACGGAAAGGCCCUGCUUUUGUGGGGUGCUCGAGUGGCGAACGGGUGAGUAACACGUGAGUAACCUGCCCUUGACUUUGGGAUAACUUCAGGAAACUGGGGCUAAUACCGGAUAGGAGCUCCUGCUGCAUGGUGGGGGUUGGAAAGUUUCGGCGGUUGGGGAUGGACUCGCGGCUUAUCAGCUUGUUGGUGGGGUAGUGGCUUACCAAGGCUUUGACGGGUAGCCGGCCUGAGAGGGUGACCGGCCACAUUGGGAAUGAGAUACGGCCCAGAAUCCUAAGGGAGGCAGCAGGGGGGAAUAUUGCAAAAUGGGCGGAAGCCUGAAGCAGCAAAGCCGCGUGCGGGAUGACGGCCUUCGGGUUGGAAACCGCUUUCGCCUGGGAAGAAGCGUGAGUGAAGGUAAUGGGGAAAGAAGCAACGGCUAAAUAAGUG